CUCGUAGGCGGUUCGUCGCGUCCGGUGUGAAAGUCCAUCGCCUAACGGUGGAUCUGCGCCGGGUACGGGCGGGCUGGAGUGCGGUAGGGGAGACUGGAAUUCCCGGUGUAACGGUGGAGUGUGUAGAUAUCGGGAAGAACACCAAUGGCGAAGGCAGGUCUCUGGGCCGUUACUGACGCUGAGGAGCGAAAGCGUGGGGAGCGAACA
rnacentral:rRNA from 1 species